GAAUGCGGAGCGCAUUCGUUUAGGCAAAGUUGUUGAAAGCCUGCAGGCAGAGGUUCAGGCCCGGGAGGUCGCGGUUACGGACCUUACUGCCCGCGUGUCUGCUGCGGAAAAGCGGGCUGACGCUGCUGCUGAGGCCAAGGAUGCCUUGGUGUCCUCUUUUAACCAGCUGGAAGCUGACCGUGAGUGGUUGCGGACUCAUGGCAUCGCGCGUAUUGUCGAGGCUAUCAUGAACGCCCCUGAGACCGCAUCUGGUUUGGACCUGGUUAAGGAGCGUGCGCGCGAUGCUGGCUUCAAUGCUGGUUAUAACCGCUGCAUUGGGCAUAUCAAUGUUUUAUCCGCAGGCGGUUAUACUGAUC
rnacentral:lncRNA from 1 species